CACCGCGGUUAUACAAGAAACUCAAAUUAACAGAAAAUCGGCGUAAAAUGUGACUAAAAUUAUAAUCUAAAAAAUUAAGGUAAACCCUUCACUCAACUGUCAUACGUAAAAGUACACAUUACCCCAAUAUGAAAGUAACCUUAAUGCAAAAUAGAAUUAUUUGAACCCACGAUCGCUAAGAGA
rnacentral:rRNA from 1 species